rnacentral:rRNA from 1 species
GACGAACGCUGGCGGCGUGCUUAACACAUGCAAGUCGAACGGAAAGGCCCUGCUUUUGUGGGGUGCUCGAGUGGCGAACGGGUGAGUAACACGUGAGUAACCUGCCCUUGACUUUGGGAUAACUUCAGGAAACUGGGGCUAAUACCGGAUAGGAGCUCCUGCUGCAUGGUGGGGGUUGGAAAGUUUCGGCGGGUGGGGAUGGACUCGCGGCUUAUCAGCUUGUUGGUGGGGUAGUGGCUUACCAAGGCUUUGACGGGUAGCCGGCCUGAGAGGGUGACCGGCCACAUGGGGACUGAGAUACGGCCCAGACUCCUACGGGAGGCAGCAGUGGGGAAUAUUGCACAAUGGGCGGAAGCCUGAUGCAGCAACGCCGCGUGCGGGAUGACGGCCUUCGGGUUGUAAACCGCUUUCGCCUGUGACGAAGCGUGAGUGACGGUAAUGGGUAAAGAAGCACCGGCGAACUACGU